rnacentral:rRNA from 1 species
UAGCUGGUCUGAGAGGAUGGCCAGCCACACUGGAACUGAGACACGGUCCAGACUCCUACGGGAGGCAGCAGUGGGGAAUCUUGCACAAUGGGCGAAAGCCUGAUGCAGCGACGCCGCGUGGGGGAUGAAGCUUCUCGGAGUGUAAACCCCUUUCGACCGGGACGAAUAUCCGCCUUUGGCGGAGGUGACGGUACCGGUAUAAGAAGCCCCGGCUAACUACGUGCCAGCAGCCGCGGUAAGACGUAGGGGGCCAGCGUUGCUCGGAAUUACUGGGUGUAAAGGGUUCGUAGGCGGUGUGGCAAGUCGGGAGUGAAAUCUCUGAGCUUAACUCAGGGGCUGCUUCCGAAACUGCUGUGCUAGAGUGUGGGAGAGGCGCGUGGAAUUGCAGGUGUAGCGGUGAAAUGCGUAGAUAUCUGCAGGAACACCCGUGGCGAAAGCGGCGCGCUGGACCACUACUGACGCUGAGGAACGAAAGCUAGGGGAGCAAACAGGAUUAGAUACCCUGGUAGUCCUAGCCCUAAACGAUCAGGACUUGGGGUGCCGCCCGUUCGGGUGUCGUCCCGGAGCUAACGCGUUAA